rnacentral:lncRNA from 1 species
UGGGGCAUCCUCACAUGGAGAGGAUUUGAUUGGGUUGUGGACCCUAGUGAUAGUGCUCCCUCACUUGGAGAGGAUUCGAUUGGGUACUGACUCUAGUCGUAGAGUAUCCUCACUUGGAGAGGAUAGAUCUAGCUCACAGUCUGCGUUUGGGAUGGUAUAGCCAUCCAAUCCCCACAUGGAGAGGAUUGUCGUCGAGUACUCCGGAGUGUCGUGCGACUAGGACCACUUGGAGGUCCGCACCACAUGGAGGUCCGCAGACGGUCCCGGGCUUGGGUGCACUUGGAGCUCCCUUCCCACUUUGGGAUUGAAAGGUGAGUCAUGGGCGAGCCCUAGGGCCUCGCCACAGAUUGGGUAAAUGGAAAGGUUAAAGGUUUAUCAAUG